rnacentral:lncRNA from 1 species
CAAGACCCUCGCCUGAACUUUCCGGGCGCCGUGCUGUGCGCGCCCACCGCCUUGGGCCGUGCCCUCUCUCUCCUCAGCGGCGGCUGCAGCACGGGUGAGGCGAGGGCGGCAGGCGGGCGGCACGCUCCGGCCCCGCGCGGCUACCGCCACAUCUCCACCCUCAGCGGGGGAGAACGCCUCCUUCCCUCCCCGCGCUCCCCGCGCCCGCACCGCGAAGGUUCUCGGCCGGAACGCGGCCCCGGCUCUUCCCCGCCGUGCCCCCGCUGCCGCCCGGCCCCGGCCGCCCGCCGGGAGCAGCGGGCCCGAGCCCGGCCCCGCCGAGGACGCGCCGAGGGCAGCGGGAGGGCCGUGCCGGGCCGUGCCGGCAGCCGUGACCUUCCCGCCGCCGGGCGGGUGUCGCCGAGGCGGCCGCUGCCCCGCUCGCUCGCUCCCUCCCUCACCCACCUGCCCGCCCCCCGGGCCGGGGUCUGCGACGCGCGGCUCCCGGCGCGGCGGCGGCCGUACGGGCGGAGGAGGAGGAGGAGGAGGAGGAGGAGGCGGCGGCGCGGCCCCGUGCUUCCCCGCUCCGGCCGGCUCCCGCCGCCCCGCACGAAGGUUCCGCCCGCCGGGCAGCGCCGGUAGCGGCCGGCGGCGCCGCGGCCCCCUCAGGGCGGCGGCGGCCGGGGCGCGGGGCGGCGGCGGCCCCGGCUGGCAGCGGCCCUUGGCUCCUCGCUCAGGCCCCUGUCCUUCUCAAGUUUCGAGUUUUCGCCGCAGUUUAACAUCCCACGCCACAGAACGCGACAGGUGGCAAAUAACCAAGGCAGUACGGCGCGGGAGGCCGUGGCCAGCGUGCAAUGAUGAGGUUGAGGCAACUGAGGGAGCUGGAAUCAAGCUGGGGCGGAUAUGCAAGAAAGCCUGCGUCAGGACGGGAGUCCAGCUGAGUGUCUGCGGAGGAACCGAGUACUUCCAGAGGCUGAAAUGUCCUCCAUCCAUCAAGAAGCUAUGGUGGAACUACUUCACCUACAGACGAGUCAACUGAAACUUUUUGUGCCUACUGGGUACAACAGCCUGUGGAACAGAUCUGCUGCUUCUGGUCUUUAAUUUCUUCUUCACUGCACCUGCUCCAUUCAGUGUCACCUCAG